rnacentral:rRNA from 1 species
UACGUAGGGGCAAGCGUUGUCCGGAUUUAUUGGGCGUAAAGAGCUCGUAGGCGGCCUGUCGCGUCUGCUGUGAAAUCCCGGGGCUCAACCCCGGGCGUGCAGUGGAUACGGGCUGGCUGGAGGCAGGCAGGGGAGAACGGAAUUCCCGGUGUAGCGGUGAAAUGCGCAGAUAUCGGGAGGAACACCGGUGGCGAAGGCGGUUCUCUGGGCCUGUACUGACGCUGAGGAGCGAAAGCGUGGGGAGCGAACAGG